GCCCAGGUAGCUCAGUUGGUAGAGCACGGAUUGAAAAUCUCCGUGUCGGCGGUUCGAUUCCGUCCCUGGGCACCA
rnacentral:tRNA from 1 species